rnacentral:rRNA from 1 species
UACAGAGGUGGCAAGCGUUGUUCAGAAUUACUGGGCGUAAAGGGCGCGUAGGCGGUCUUAUAAGUCUCGUGUGAAAUCCCUCGGCUUAACUGAGGAACUGCACGGGAUACUGCAAGACUUGAGAUCGGGAGAGGGAAGCGGAAUUCCGGGUGUAGCGGUGAAAUGCGUAGAUAUCUGGAGGAACACCGGUGGCGAAGGCGGCAUCCUGGACCGGUAUUGACACUGAGGCGCGAAAGCCAGGGGAGCAAACGGG